AAAAUGAGUGAAGAGCACUUGAUCGUUAAACCGGACCGAGAAAGAAAUAAGGCUUUGGCGAGCUCCACUGCUAAGCUCUAAACCCUUUACCUUAUUUCUGUCUCAAUUUCUUCUCUUCUUUGUGGUUCCUUUGAUUAUUUAAAUAUGAAUUUCGAACUGAUUAAACGCUCACGUCCCAUUUUACAUACUAUUAUUUGUGUUCCAUUUUACGUCAAAUGUUUCUCUUCUCUCCCUUCAAUCUCUUCACUUUCUGAUGUAGAAACCCAAUUGAGAUUACUUUGUCAAGAACCCAAUUUUCAAUCCACUAGAGCAGUUUCUUUGUUUCACCAAGCUAUCGAUUCAUAUCUCUAUCCUUCAGAGUCAAUCUGCAAUUCUCUUCUGCAUAAUUUGGUAAGGUCUAAGAAUUACCAAUUGACGCUUUCUGUUUAUAGUAAGAUGACCCAUGUUGGUAUUAUGUCUAAUUUUUUUUCUUUAAGUCAUUUAGUCGAUUGUUUUGUGCAUACCCAUAUGCUCAAAUUUGCUUUUGGGGUGUUGGGUUUGAUUUUAAAGCGUGGUUUUGUGGUCAAUGUGUAUGUUAUGAAUUCAAUGUUAAAGGGUCUGUGUAGUAAUGGUGAGGUUUAUGAGGCUAUGAAUUUGCUUAAUGAAUUGAAAAUGACUCAUGUUAUGCCAGAUGUUGUUACUUUUACUAUAAUUAUAAAAGGACUUUGCAAGGCGAAACAAUUUGAAGAUGCUAUGAAGUUGUUAAUUGAGAUGGAGGAGAUGAAUUGUGAACCGGAUGCUUUUACGUACUCUAUUUUGAUGGAUGGUCUUUGUAAGGCUGGUAGGGUAGACGUGGCAAUUGGGUUGUGGGAGAAGAUGAAAAGAAAGGGAUCGGAGGUGAAUGUUGUUGUUUAUGGUACACUUAUUAAUGGUUACUGUAAGUUGGGGCAAUGGAAAGAAGCCACUGCUACGUUUAAUGCUAUGUUGGAAAGUGGGAUUCGCCCUAAUGCUUAUAUCUAUACGUGCUUGAUUUUUGGACUCUGGAAAGAUGGAAAGACUACUAGGGCUAUAGACCUGUUUAAACUGAUGUUAGAAAAGGGUGAAGAGCCUAAUACUGUGACAUAUACUGUUUUAAUGCGUGGACUAUUCAAGGAAGGCCUGGUUAAUGAAGCUUUAAAAAUUAUGCAAAUGAUGUUGGACAAGGGAAUGAAACCUGAUGUGGUUUCUUACAAUACCUUACUGAUGGGACUUUGCAAUAACAGUGGAGUUGAUGAGGCGAUGAAACUCUUUCAUACUGUGUUGAGGGAUGGAAAUUAUAUUGAGCCAAAUGUCAGGACUUUUAAUUAUCUAAUUCAGGGGCUUUGCAAGGAAGCUCGGGUUGAUGAGGCAACUGAGAUUUAUGAUAUGAUGAUUGAUAGGGGGUACUCUGUUAAUUUGGUAACUUGCAAUGUUUUGAUUGGAGAAUAUCUAAAGGCAGGAUUGAUUAAUGAGUCUAUGAGAAUAUGGAAACGUGUAAAUGAAUUAGGAUUUGUUCCAGAUUCAAUCACCUAUGGUGCCAUGAUUCGUGGAUUUUGUAGAAUGGGCAUGCUUAAUGUUGCAAAAGGACUUUUUACUAGAAUGAGAGCCCUUGGGCUGAGCCCUGCUUUGUGUGACUAUAAUAUGUUGAUGGCUUCCUUGUGCAAGGAGAGCAGCUUGGAGCAAGCGAGGAAGUUGUUUCAAGAAUUGAGGAACUCAAAUUGUGAAUUGGAUGUCUUCUCUUUCAAUAUAAUGAUUUAUGGGACUCUGAAAGCUGGGGAUAUUCAAUCAGCCAAAGAAUUGCUAAAGGACAUGCUUCAAAUGGGUGUGAAUCCUAAUGCUUUUACCUACUUCAUUUUAAUAAAUUGGUUCUCAAAACUUGGACUGUUGGAUGAGGCUAAAGAAGCUUUUAAUAGAAUGAUUGGCUCUGGCUUUAUACCAAGCAUCCAUGUAUAUGAUUCAUUACUUAAAGGUUUUAGCUCAAUGGGUAAAGCAGAAGAGACUAUAAACCUUCUUCAACUGAUGGCGGAAAAGGGAGUUGUUCUUGACUCAGAAAUAAAAAAUACAAUCAUGACUUUUCUCUGUCAUAGCUCGUUUGGUAAAGAUAUCGUGGGCCUGUUGCCUAAUUUUGCAUCGGAAGUGUCAGAAAAGUCGAGCAUCUCAUGCAAUAAGUUAUUGAUGAAAAUACGAGAGUCUAGCCCAGAACAUGAAGUACAUGCUGCUUCAAGUACAUCAGAAGUCUAACCUUCUUCAACUACUGAAGCUGGGUGCCUGUGUCACUCGCUUGAAGGUAAAAUAAUUCGGUGCCCAUGUGCAGGUGGACAUUACCUUAGCAUACACUGUGCAUGCUAAUUUAGGAAUGAUCUCUUUUUUUCUGCUUCUUACCUUACAUUGACAUUUGUCUGCAGCUUUAGUGGUCCUUGAAUGAAAUUUUUCCUCUUAAUAGUUACUAUCUGAAGAGGGGUUAAGUAGUCAUGAAGGCUUCUUUAUAAGUUUUUAUCUCUCUAGUCAAUGGCUUAUGCCUGUAUUCCAUAAUCAGGAAUGAUCUCUUUUUUUCUGCUUCUUAUACCUAUCUAUCCACUUCUUUUAUCCUAUACACUAAGCUCUAAGCAUCCUUUAGGCCUUCUCCUGGAAAUAGAGCAUAUUAUUAUUAUAUAUUUGUUACCAUUUGCCUAUGUGGAUUUAAGUGGCCUUCUGCUCUGCAGAUUCCCAUGUUUUUUUUGUCUUGCAGAUUGGUUUGCUAAAUGAUGGGCCUCAGUUUUGUUGCCUCAUCCAUGCAAGUCUUUCUGCGUUAGCUUGUUGCCUGCAAAUCUAUUUGCAUUUAUUCCUGGUGUAUCAGCCUUUUGAUUUGAUUUAUUUUGUUUGAUCUAUGAUUUUCAGGAUAUCAGAUCCGAUUGAGGGGAAAAACCAAAAAAAGAAAAAAAAUGAUGGAGGACUUCUAAGAAUCACACCUAGAAGCUCUUGAUUAUCACACUCAAGAAAAGGAUCCUUUGAUAUCACGUCCAAGGAAGAGUUGAAUCACGAUUCCAAAUGGCAAAAACAAAAUUAAUUUUAUU